ensembl:lncRNA
GGAGAGACUGAGGGCCUGUCUCUGUCUCCUAGGUAACCAGGAGAGACUGAGGGCCUGUCUCUGUCUCCUAGGUAACCAGGAGAGACUGAGGGCCUGUCUCUGUCUCCUAGGUAACCAGGAGUGACUGAGGGCCUGUCUCUGUCUCCUAGGUAACCAGGAGAGACUGAGGGCCUGUCUCUGUCUCCUAGGUAACCAGGAGAGACUGAGGGCCUGUCUCUGUCUCCUAGGUAACCAGGAGAGACUGAGGGCCUGUCUCUGUCUCCUAGGUAACCAGGAGAGACUGAGGGCCUGUCUCUGUCUCCUAGGUAACCAGGAGAGACUGAGGGCCUGUCUCUGUCUCCUAGGUAACCAGGAGAGACUGAGGGCCUGUCUCUGUCUCCUAGGUAACCAGGAGAGACUGAGGGGGUUUAGUGAAUGUAAUGUAGCAGUGUUCACGUCAUUGACGUCGCAAUCAUGCUGUCCAUCAAGUCCUCCUUCCGAUGAAUGCCCUAACCUCGGGGGGACCUGGACGCUGAUUUUGAUUGAUUGACAAGUCACUAUGAACCGUCCUUCUGAUCUGAGCGAGAAGUGUGUGUGUUGUGUGUGAAACGUUAAUAUGUUCUGUGUGAAACGUUAAUAUGUUCUGUGUGCGUUCGUGCCGGUCUGUCUCCCGUGACGUUGCAUGUUGUCCACGGAACCACAGUACUACUACAGUUGCUUAGGAACGUUGCCGUUGUAAAAAGACCAGAUUGGUGCCCAUUCAACACAUCUAAUCUAAUGAAAGAGGAUCAUUUGUCAUAUCUGUUAUGAUGUAUGUUUUGUAACAAACCCACAUGUAGUUACUUAAGUCCCGAUAUAUUGGACUGUUUUCCCUGCGUAACAUGUAGAAGUUGUCCCUUUUUCAGGUUUAGAAGAAGAGGUGACCGCUAAAUGCUAACUCCCAUCCGUAUAAGCUGGUAGCAUAGCUAGCAUACAGAAAUCGUUGAUGGUAGUCAUGUCGUUUAAAAAAAAAACUAAUGCACUUGAUUGGUGACGAUGAGUUGAUAACGUCCACAC